rnacentral:rRNA from 1 species
AGGGUGUGCAGACGGUUUAUUAAGUUGCUUGUUUAAUUCUUCGGCCUAACCGAAGGCUCGCAAGCAAAACUGGUAGACUUGAGGAUGGAAGAGAGAAGUGGAAUUCUCGGAGUAGCGGUAAAAUGCGUAGAUCUCGAGAGGAACACCAAUGGCGAAGGCAGCUUCUUGGUCCAUUCCUGACGUUCAUACACGAAAGCGUGGGGAGCAAACAGGAUUAGAUACCCUGGUAGUCCACGCCGUAAACGAUGAUCACUAGACGUCAGUUUCGUUUAACGAAAUUGGUGUCGUAGCUAACGCGUUAAGUGAUCCGCCUGGGGACUACGGUCGCAAGACUAAAACUCAAAUGAAAUUGACGGGGGCCCGCACAAGCGGUGGAACAUGUGGUUUAAUUCGACACUACGCGAGGAACCUUACCUGGGCUUGACAUGCAUAUGACCGUCGUAGAAAUACGAUCUUCUAAGUUUACUUAGACAUUUGCACAGGUGCUGCAUGGCUGUCGUCAGCUCGUGUCGUGAGAUGGUUGGUUAAGUCCUCUAACGAGCGCAACCCUAUGCUGUCAGUUGCUAUCUAGUGAUA